GACGAACGCUGGCGGCGUGCUUAACACAUGCAAGUCGAACGGUGAAGCGCCUUCCUUUUUGGUGGGUGUGGAUGAGUGGCGAACGGGUGAGUAACACGUGAGUAACCUGCCCCCUUCUUCUGGAUAACCGCAUGAAAGUGUGGCUAAUACGGGAUAUUCUGGGUCUGUCGCAUGAUGGGUCUGGGAAAGAUAUUGUUUCGGUGGGGGAUGGGCUCGCGGCCUAUCAGCUUGUUGGUGGGGUGAUGGCCUACCAAGGCGGUGACGGGUAGCCGGCCUGAGAGGGUGGACGGUCACACGGGGACUGAGACACGGCCCAGACUCCUACGGGAGGCAGCAGUGGGGAAUAUUGCACAAUGGGAGCAAGCCUGAUGCAGCGACGCCGCGUGAGGGAUGGAGGCCUUCGGGUUGUGAACCUCUUUCGCCAGUGAAGCAGGCCUGCCUCGUUUGUGGGUGGGUUGACGGUAGCUGGAUAAGAAGCGCCGGCUAACUACGUG
rnacentral:rRNA from 1 species